rnacentral:lncRNA from 1 species
AAUUUCGGGUUUACAAAAAUUGAGUGAAAUGGAUUUGUUUGAGCCAAGAAAAUUGAUCCUAGAGAUGAAUGAAGCUAACAUAUGAUUUAGAUUGGAUCAAAAAUGGGCUAAAGGAAGCUUGAAAAUGUAGAGAGAGAAACGGGUAGAGUUAGGUUUUUGAUUUUGGGUUUAAUGUGGAGAGUUGAUGAAAUGAAGUUUUGAGAACGAAAAUUGAAGGAGUAAUGGAUGAAUAAUGAUUUGGAUGAUUGAUUUUAACAAGAAAAUGAGUGAAAGAUGAAGAAUUUUGAGAGAGAAAUGGUGAGGUACUGUUCACGCGUGAGAGAUGAA